GUGGCAGCAACAAAUUUUCCCUAAUUUGGAGGCAGAGAAACGUGACUGCAGUCAUGCUCUGAGUGCGUGCACCGUGACGGCUCCACUCCGUCAGUCAUUAAGAGUGCAAGCCUGGGAAUGCUGGGCACCCCGUGGCUGGAAUAAGAGAGCUGCACACUGAAGUGGGAAAUGGCAGAUAUAGGCUGGUGGUGAGGAAAGUCCAGGACUGCCAGUGUGUGUUCAGAUACCUCAGACUUUCACAAUGGAUGCCAUAAAAUGUGGAGGAUUCUCGAAGGUGAAAGACGCUGAUGAGGAAAUUCAGACAAUCUGUGAUGAGCUUCCAUGUUAUGGAGGAGAAGCUGUAGUUACUGGUGUGGAAGACCAUCAUGACAAAGAUCCCAUCCAAUCUUUUUAAUGAAUCACACUUUGUAUUUCAGCUGCUCUCUGUUAUAGGUUAUAAUCAAUAUAUUAAAACUCUUUAUUUCUAGACAUAUAUAACUGACUUGAGUUCAUCAUUUGAAGCAUUAAAAGUUGAAUUCUGUAAAAAACUAAAUGAUUGUGAUCGUUGAUUUCUUGCUAGUUAUUAACUUUUACCAUUGCAUUUACCAUCAUUGCAGCUACUGAUGAUUUUUUGAUUUUCAUAUUUGCUUCAUCUAUAAUAACUGUAAGGUUAACAGUACUCUUGUCUGAAUUAUCUCUGUGUGUAUGUGUGUGUGAGGGAAGACUCUAACAGAGUCCCAAAAGUCCAACACAUGUUAUCCUGUUUUUAGAGACAUAAUUUGUGCAGCAUACACAGAAUCUAACCAGUAAUUAAAGGAUUAUUCAGGCUACUAAUCUCUCUAAUUUAUUGUGUUCUACAAUGAUGGACAUGGUCGUCCAUACAGAAGAUAAUCAGUAUUAAGAUGUCAGUCACAGCUGAAUUUCUUUUUAAUCUUGCAUUAGUCCCACUUGUCCAGCAGAUGUCCUCGUUAUGUCUCCUGCACAUCUUGAUUGUUUGUAGGUCUCAACCAUGCUUUGACCAGAUCAUUCAGCCUUCCUUCAUUUAUUUAAAUGUAUUAACUAUUUAAUCUGGUAGACCAUCUUGUAGUGGCCUUCAACACGUCUUUUUCAGAUGUUUGUCUGUACUGCUUUUUUUUCUUUAGCUUGUGUCACUUUGUGGCUGUAUCUUCAUUUCCCUGUUUUAAUUUUGAUGCUGUUUGCAGUCAUUAAAAUCUCCUUUUUGUUUUUUUUUGUUUUUUGCAUCUAACAUUUCCAGCUCUAAAUGUUAACUAGAAAAGAGUAAUAAUAAGGCAGAGCCCCCUGAAACUCUCUCAAAAGUAUGUGAAGAGAAGAUUCCCCCUGGUGGAAAAAAAAACAAACAAAACAAAAAUGAAAAAACACCACCAACAACAGGGAAAAGUAAAAUCUAAUAUCUACAGUCUUAAAAAACAAAUAAUAGUAAGAAAAUAAUAUCUAAACCACAGAGAGGAGUAUACACUAGAGCAGGAGUGUCAAACUCCAGGCCUCGAGGGCCGGUGUCCUGCAAGUUUUAAA